CGGUGGAUCACUCGGCUCGUGGAUCGAUGAAGAACGCAGCUAGCUGCGAUAAAUAGUGCGAAUUGCAGACACAUUGAGCACUAAAAUUUCGAACGCACAUUGCGCCAUCGGGUUCAUUCCCGUUGGCACGUCUGGCUGAGGGUCAGAAUAUGGAGAAGUACGAUCGGCACACACGUACGUAUGGAAUGUGGUUAACGCGUAAGCAUUUUCGUGCAUUCUGUUGCAACGUGCAUUCGGUGAGCUAUGGUGGUAAUCGAUAUUGUUUGAAAUUAUCACCACGUACCUUACCAAGCCUAUAUACAAAGAGACACAGGAAAUCGCUGUCGUUUGCUUGUCGUGAAGAGGCGAAAAUGGCCAUCGGUGUUUGUGUUACUUUACGAUACGGUCUCCAGCAAGCGUUGUUUUUUGCUGCUUGAUGGCAAAAUCUAGGUUGGAGAUAACGUGAUCGGCCGCUUGAAGAAGGAACGGGCACCAAAUGGUUGACAUGAAUUUUUUUUUUGACCUCAGCUCAGUCGUGAUCACCCGCUGAAUUUAAGCAUAUAACUAAGCGGAGGAAAAGAAACUAACCAG
rnacentral:rRNA from 1 species